rnacentral:tRNA from 1 species
AGCGGGGUUUUAUAAUUGGUCGACUCAUCGGGCUCAUGACCUCUUGACGGCAGGUUCGAAUCCUGCCCCCGCUA